AGAGAUUAUCACCUGUGGCCGUUGAGGCUAUUGACGGGAGACCUCUCUCACAACCCUUGAUUACCCACGAAACCUUGCCUAUUAACAUUUCCAUAGGAGCUUUACACAUGGAAAACAUAACAUUCCAGAUAAUUGCUUCUCCCUGUCCCAUCAUAUUAGGAUUUCCUUGGCUCAUUAAGCACAAUCCUCAUAUAGACUGGGCAAAGGGGGAAAUGCUGGAGUGGCAUAAAGACUGUAUAGAGAGAUGUGUGUUACCCAUUAUCAAAAGAGUGGAC